UGUUUAGCAUAAGUUUGUUUUAUGCACUAUCUAGGACAUACUUACACUAAAA
rnacentral:miRNA from 1 species